rnacentral:rRNA from 1 species
GUAGUUUGAUCAUGGCUCAGGAUAGACGCUGGCGGCGUGCCUAAUACAUGCAAGUCGAACGAGGUGCUUUUGUAGCAAUACGAAAGUAUCCUAGUGGCGAACGGGUGAGUAACGCGUGGAUGACCUGCCCCAAAGUGUGGGAUAACAGUCCGAAAGGAUUGCUAAUACCUCAUGUGGUUAUCGGAUUUAGAAACAGAUAACUAAAGCAGCAAUGCGCUUUGGGAGGGAUCUGCGUCCCAUCAGCUAGUUGGUGAGGUAAUGGCUCACCAAGGCUACGACGGGUAGGGGACCUGAGAGGGUGGCCCCCCACAAUGGAACUGAAACACGGUCCAUACACCUACGGGUGGCAGCAGUAGGGAAUAUUGCUCAAUGGGCGAAAGCCUGAAGCAGCAACGCCGCGUGUGCGAUGAAGGCCUUCGGGUCGUAAAGCACUUUUCUACGAGAUGAGAAAGGACAGUAUCGUAGGAAUAAGUCUCGGCUAACUACGUG